rnacentral:rRNA from 1 species
AUGAACGCUGGCGGCGUGCCUAAUACAUGCAAGUCGAGCGAACAGACGAGGAGCUUGCUCCUCUGACGUUAGCGGCGGACGGGUGAGUAACACGUGGAUAACCUACCUAUAAGACUGGGAUAACUUCGGGAAACCGGAGCUAAUACCGGAUAAUCUAUUGAACCGCAUGGUUCAAUAGUGAAAGACGGUUUUGCUGUCACUUAUAGAUGGAUCCGCGCCGCAUUAGCUAGUUGGUAAGGUAACGGCUUACCAAGGCAACGAUGCGUAGCCGACCUGAGAGGGUGAUCGGCCACACUGGAACUGAGACACGGUCCAGACUCCUACGGGAGGCAGCAGUAGGGAAUCUUCCGCAAUGGGCGAAAGCUUGACGGAGCAACGCCGCGUGAGUGAUGAAGGUCUUCGGAUCGUAAAACUCUGUUAUUAGGGAAGAACAAAUGUGUAAGUAACUAUGCACGUCUUGACGGUACCUAAUCAGAAAGCCACGGCUAACUACGUG